rnacentral:tRNA from 1 species
GCCUGGGUGGCUCAGUCGGUUGAGCAUCUGACUUUGGGUCAGGUCAUGAUCUCAUGGUUUGUGAGUUUGAGCCCCACAUUAGGCU